AAGUUUGGACAAUGGGGGAAACCCUGAUCCAUCCAUCCCUCGUGGAUGAUGAAGGCCUUCGGGUUGUAAAGUACUUUUGGCAGAGAAGAGAAGGUAUCUUCUAAUACGAGAUACUGAGGACGGUAUCUGCAUAAUAAGCCCCGGCUAUCUACGUGCCAGCAGCAGCGGUAAUACGUAGGGUGCAAGCGUUAAUCGUAAUUACUGGCCGUAAAGCGUGUGUAGGCGGUUCGGAAAGAAAGAUGCGAAAGCCCAGGGCUCAACCUUGGAACUGCAUUUUUAACUGCCGAGCUAGAGUAUGUCAGAGGGGGGUAGAAUUCCACGUGUAGCAGUGAAAUGCGUAGAUAUGUGGAGGAAUACCGAUGGCGAAGGCAGCCCCCUGGGAUAAUACUGACGCUCAGACACGAAAGCGUGGGGAGCAAAC
rnacentral:rRNA from 1 species